GUCGCUUCUCUUCACUCCUCGAGCCCUGUGCGGCCUCCCGGGAGUUGACUCCGUCUCCUUUCUCUCCUUUCCGGUCUGUAGCCCUCUCUCUCCGCCUCUUCUUCUUCUCAUCUCGGCUGGCGUUGUCGGACUCAGCGCCACCACGAUUCCAUAAAGAAACGAAUACACAGUGCUGGUGAGCGAGAGAUCAGAGAAAGAAGACGACACAAAUCCCGGAGCCAACAAACUUCGUUCUCAGCGUGUCCACAGAGAAUCCAUGUGAUCGAGGAGUGGUAUUCCCCCAGUAAUAUUCCAGACCUUGAUCUCUUCCCCUCUUCUCUCUCUCUCUCUCUCUCUCUCUCUCUACAUGAUGGUAACCCAUGUCGUGCAUGGCCACACGUGUUUUGAUUAGGGCAACCAAUCCUUGGUUUCCUUCCUGCACGUUACAGUAGUAGACCACCGAACAAAUACGUUCUACUUGAGCUUGGUUAUGUUUACGUCUCAGCAGAACUGCUCAUCUAAUGACCUGUUUCUUCUUCUUCAAGCUUUUCUUUUUCCUCUCGUUACAGGGCACAUAGAGAAGGACAAGAGGAAACGUAGAUACAUCGUAUCUGCUCAUCAUACUUGUGAUGUAAGAUAUAACCCU
rnacentral:lncRNA from 1 species